AUUGAACGCUGGCGGCAGGCCUAACACAUGCAAGUCGAACGAGUGGCGGACGGGUGAGUAAUGUCUGGGAAACUGCCUGCUGGAGGGGCAUAACUACUGGAAACGGUAGCUAAUACCGCAUAACAUAAGAUGUGCUCAGAUGGGAUUAGCUACUUGGUGGGGUUACGGCUCACCAAGGCGACGAUGCCUUGCUGGUCUGAGAGGAUGACCAGCCACACUGGAACUGAGCCACGGGCCAGGUUCCUACGUGAGUCAGGAGUGGGGAAGAGUGCACAAUGGGCGCAAGCCGGAUGCUGCCAUGCCGCGUGUAUGAAGAAGGCCUUCGGGUUGGAAAGUACUUUCAGCGGGGAGGCGUUACACGCAGAAGGAGCACCGGCUAACUCCGUGCCAGCCGCCGCGGUAAUAC
rnacentral:rRNA from 1 species